rnacentral:misc_RNA from 1 species
UGGGAAUUGAAGUCUUUGGCAGCUACAGUGAUUGCCCCUUAAACUACUUUUAAUUGAUUAAGAUUGCAGCUAAUGGUCAGCAGAACACCUCUAAGUCAUUGUCUCUUAAAAACAAAAAAGAAUACAGUACAAGCACAGAUUAUAGCUAUUUUAAUGACAAAUAAUGCAAACCGAGAUUAAGCACAAAGGAUUGACAUCAAUGCCUAUUUCUUUCAAUUUUCAUCUUACUUAGAUGAGAUCAAGAAUUUGAAAUGGAUAAG